GUUACCCAUGUCUCCACAUGCACGUGAAUUAUCGCAUUUCCUGCACUGACAGUUGCGAGAUAGCAUCUUUCAGGCAGUUGAAGAGAUGCAGAUGCAGAUGUAGACGCAUAUGACAUAUGACUGUAGCGUUUUGCUUGUGCGUGCAUAUGUCUGACCACCAGACUCCUAUCAGGCCAUUUCCCCCCGCCACAGCUCGAGCACAAGCCCACGCUGAGCUCAUCCUCACAGAUAACGCCUGUGGUCUCUUCCUCUCGCUGGAUACAUGAGGCGGAGAACACCUGUGUGCUCUGAACAGGAAAGAAGAUAUUUUCACAAAAGUGACCCCAUUGACCUCCAUUGAAUGGAAACAAAACCACUUCUCAAAACAUCUUCAGAUAAAAGAGUCAUACAUGUUUUAAAUGAUGUUAAGCUCUUAUGAUGUUUCAAAGAAGAAAUGUCGGAGACAGGGGAAACUUCCACAAAGCCUAUAUGAGUCACUACACAUCCAUGAGAAGAGCAGCAACAGUCACUGUCCAACACUUUAAAUACUGAUUAACCAAAAACAACAAAGACACUCCAAGAUAAGAUAGCAGUCUUCAAAAACCUUAGUAAUGAAUCCAAGUGUUGUUUUUGAACUUUAUCAUUUCUUCAUUAUUUAUUUGCUCAUUUUCCUCCCUGUGUCGUCAUCACAAACCUGCCCUGAGUAAACUUUGCUUAUAUGUAAAUCAAUUGCUCACAGCUGAGAGACUGACUGAAGGUAAAAUCUUGUUUUAGCCGCUUAGAUUUAUUUGAAACAUGUAUGAUCUAUUAGCUUCUGUAUUGCACAUAAGGGCCAUUUCUUGACUUUUGAAAACUUUUGGCACAGCGUGUGUUUUAUUACAGUGGGGAAGUGGCCCAGCCCCCUCUUAUUCUUGCCAGACUGAUGCGGGGCCCUUGUAAAAUGCCAUUAUGCGUAAAGAUGAUUUCUAUGUGGGAACUGCAUAGGACUCUCUCCUGCUUCUCUUUGAUGUAUUAUCUCGCAGACUUCCAGGAUCUAAUCCUAACCACCCAUAAGUAAAGACAACCCUCCUCCCAUCCACCCACUCGUUUUUUGCUUUUUGUGUCCUAAUAUCAGUGCCUCACCAAAACAGCUGUAAAAUAUUUACAGGUAUAUCUUUUUUAAAAAGACUAUACUGUUUAUGGCAUUUGUUGUUUGUUCUUUUGUCUGUCUUUCUUUUAGUUUUGCCAUCUGGUAAAAACGUAUAAUAUAGGGGGAAUACUCCCUGAAUAUCUGAUGAGUACAAAUAAAAUUCUGUAAAGUGUGAGACGCUCGGGCAGGUUAGAAAGAGAGAAAGGAAGUGAAAACGGACCUCUUGAUACUGUAAAGCCCUUUUGGGUUCCUUCCUUCCUGUGUUUGAGAUGUCAGCCUUUGAAUGGGGUCGUAAAGAGCCCCCCGAAAAACACAAGGACCAACACAGCUGCUUAACAAACCAUAUAUUCUGUUAAAAAAAACUAUGACAUAAACACAUCCAGAGAAGCAUAAAAAAGCAUUAUAAGCACUUGCCAUGAUAAAGUUUGUAAUAAUAAUUGUAAAGAAAGUUUUUGUGAUCAAUUCAAAAUAUGGAACCUUGGCUCUCCAGAUAUAUAUAAAACUUUCAUUUUUAGAGUGUGUGUACUCACAAG